rnacentral:lncRNA from 1 species
CCCGGCUGGCCGGGAAGGAGCUCCGGUUCCACAAGGAGAAGAAGGACAUCCUGCUGCUGGCAGCUGGCCAGCUGGGCUCAGCACACUCCUCCGGCUGCUGAACCCCCAAAUCCCACCCUGGGUGAUCCCCUAAACCCUUUCCCCAAAUCCCAGCCCGUUUGCACAUUUAGAAGAAAUUUAGGGAAAAAGCUCCUGAAUGGAUUUUAGCAAGUUUUAUCCUGGUUUUUAGAGCUACUUCUCAUUCUCUUCAUUCCCUCAUUCCUCCCUUCAGAGCUUUUUACACUCUUCUGGUUGCUGAACCCCCAAAUCCCACCCUUGGUUGAUCCCUAAACCCUUUCC